rnacentral:sRNA from 1 species
UGCAUUAAAUGGCACAUUAUUCUAGUCAAUAAUUUAUUACGAAGGUGGGGCUAAAAAUCCACUAAAGAGCACAUCGAUGAAGUCCUUGGUGUCUGCUUCAUACGCCCAGUUUGGGGUGGAUGCUGAGGGUUAAGAAUUUAUGGGCGACUAUAAUGGCAUAUAGCAACCGACCCAUUUAUUCGUGGAGACUUAUUAUUGUGAAAAGCCUAUACAGACAAACUUGACGGACUUUUUACGAAAUAAGUAAGAACCUAUUAUGUGGCGAAAGUUAUGAAUAGAGUAGCUUGGUUUGAGUGAUUAUUUGGGAUUAUGGAUAAGUUUUUUAUUACAUGGCCAGUGAUGAAUAAUUUGGUAACCAUAUGAAACUAUAAUUGCAAAAGAGCAUAGUAAUAAUAAUUAUUGUCGGGGAAAACCCCUAGAGUGACAUUUCAUAGGAUUGCAGUGCGUACUAAGUGGUAAUCAAGUCGUAGAUAUGGUGACAUACUACUAUUUCUUUUAAAAGGGAACUGCUAUACUGGUAACGGUAAGUAAGAAAUAGGGAAAUCCAACUUGACCUAAGGCGUAAAGUUAACUAUGAUAUAGCCAUUCUUU